rnacentral:lncRNA from 1 species
AAUGAACAGGAAUUUAUAUCAAAUGAUGCAGAGUGGAAGAGGCUGACCCAUGACAAGCCCAAGAAAAGACAAAUCUUCAUUAAAAGCAGGUAUGUGGAAAUAAUGAGUGUUGUCAUCAACAUGAAGGAAGUAGCCAGAAAAAUGUCCUUCAGCUCCCAGCUGGCUGAGUAGGAAAGGUGGAAGGCAGUGAAUCAACCGGGGUCUUCUUUCUGUGAGGAAGACCUAUGCCAGACCACAAAUGGAAAGCAUCUGGAUUCAGGCAUUGCAACUUGAUCACAG